UACUGUCUUAGGAAAGAAAUACAUGUGUAUACUGUCUUAGGAAAGAAAUACAUGUGUAUACUGUAUUAGGGGGGACAUUUCUAAUCGUUGUUAAGCUUUCACAGUCACGUAUUAUCACCCUGAAGCUUUCACAGUCACGUCACCCUGAACGUAGUAAGGGUCUUAUCAGCAACAGCAAAUUACACUACAGGGCUUCUUAUUAGCACGUUAGCAUAGCAACACAGAGCUGGAUAACGCUUUGACCACGAGCUACUAUAAAUGUGAGGCUUAUCAACGCCGCAUCACUUCCAGCAUAAACAAGAAGGGAGUCCCGCCAUCGAGGCGACCGGCACAACAAAUGAUAUAACUGCAUCUCCCGCACAGCGAGGCUUAUUAUCUGAUUACCAGCUCUGCACAGAGGACUUGUAACACUAGCAGCAGUGGAGACGGAGCAUCAGAACCUGGAGAAUACAGCAACAACAACAACAACAAAACAACAACAACAACAACAACAACACGGAACCAUUUGAAGAUAUGUAAAUCUGCCUGGGCCUAGCAGCAAGAACCUCCAUCUGUGCCUGCACCCAGGCAAGGCCGGAUUAACCAUAUGGGCAACCUGGGCAAGUGCCCAGGGGCCCUUGAGCAAAGAGGGCCCUCA